GCUUUUAUAAGUGAAGAAUAUGACGGUAACUUAUGAAUAAGGAUCGGCUAACUCCGUGCCAGCAGCCGCGGUCAUACGGAGGAUCCAAGCGUUAUCCGGAAUUACUGGGUGUAAAGAGUUGCGUAGGUGGCAUAGUAAGCGGGUAGUGAAAGCGUUCGGCUCAACCGAAUAUCCAUUACCUGAACUGCUAAGCUAGAGAAUGAGAGAGGUCACUGGAAUUCCCUGUGUAGGAGUGAAAUCCGUAGAUAUAGGGAGGAACACCGAUGGCGUAGGCAGGUGACUGGCUUAUUUCUGACACUAAGGCACGAAAGCGUGGGGAGCAAACGGGAUUAGAUACCCCGGUAGUCCACGCCGUAAACGAUGGAUGCUAGCUGUAAGAAGUAUCGACCCUUCUUGUAGCGAAGCUAACGCGUUAAGCAUCCCACCUGUGGAGUACGGUCGCAAGACUAAAACAUAAAGGAAUUGACGGGGACCCGCACAAGCGGUGGAGCGUGUUGUUUAAUUCGAUGGUAAACGAAGAACCUUACCCAGGCUUGACAUCCUUGGAAAGCAUCCGAAAGGAAGCUGUGCCCUCGGGAACCAAAUGACAGGUGUUGCAUGGCCGUCGUCAGCUCGUGUCGUGAGAUGUUUGGUUAAGUCCAUCAACGAGCGCAACCCUUUUAGUUAGUUGAAUUUCUCUAGCUAGACUGCCCUGGUAACAGGGAGGAAGGAGGGGAUGAUGUCAGGUCAGUAUUACCCUUACGUCUGGGGCUACAAACACGCUACAAUGGCCGGUACAAAGCGCUGCCAACCCGCGAGGGGGAGCAAAUCGCAUCAAAGCCGGUCUCAGUUCGGAUAGCAGGCUGAAACUCGCCUGCUGAAGCUGGAAUCG
rnacentral:rRNA from 1 species